rnacentral:rRNA from 1 species
UACGAAGGGUGCAAACGUUGCUCGGAAUUAUUGGGGCGUAAAGCGCACGUAGGCGGCUAUUCAAGUCGGAUGUGAAAUCCCCUCGGCUCAACCAAGGAAGUGCAUCCGAAACUGGAUAGCUUGAGUACCAAAGAGGAUCGCGGAAUUCCCGGUGUAGAGGUGAAAUUCGUAGAUAUCGGGAGGAACACCAGUGGCGAAGGCGGCGAUCUGGGUGGAUACUGACGCUGAGGUGCGAAAGCGUGGGGAGCAAACAGGG